rnacentral:rRNA from 1 species
AGUGAACGCUGGCGGUAGGCCUAACACAUGCCAGUCGAACGGCAGCACAGUAAGAGCUUGCUCUUACGGGUGGCGAGUGGCGGACGGGUGAGGAAUACAUCGGAAUCUACUUUUUCGUGGGGGAUAACGUAGGGAAACUUACGCUAAUACCGCAUACGACCUACGGGUGAAAGCAGGGGAUCUUCGGACCUUGCGCGAUUGAAUGAGCCGAUGUCGGAUUAGCUAGUUGGCGGGGUAAAGGCCCACCAAGGCGACGAUCCGUAGCUGGUCUGAGAGGAUGAUCAGCCACACUGGAACUGAGACACGGUCCAGACUCCUACGGGAGGCAGCAGUGGGGAAUAUUGGACAAUGGGCGCAAGCCUGAUCCAGCCAUACCGCGUGGGUGAAGAAGGCCUUCGGGCUGUAAAGCCCUUCUGUUGGGAAAGAAAAGCAGCAGGUUAAUACCCCGCUGUUCUGACGGUACCCAAAGAAUAAGCACCGGCUAACUUCGUG